rnacentral:rRNA from 1 species
CGGCCACACUGGGACUGAGACACGGCCCAGACUCCUACGGGAGGCAGCAGUGGGGAAUAUUGCACAAUGGGCGAAAGCCUGAUGCAGCGACGCCGCGUGCGGGAUGACGGCCUUCGGGUUGUAAACCGCUUUCAGCAGGGAAGAAGCGCAAGUGACGGUACCUGCAGAAGAAGCGCCGGCUAACUACGUGCCAGCAGCCGCGGUAAUACGUAGGGCGCGAGCGUUAUCCGGAAUUAUUGGGCGUAAAGAGCUCGUAGGCGGUUUGUCACGUCUGCUGUGAAAGCCCGGGGCUCAACCCCGGGUGUGCAGUGGGUACGGGCAGACUAGAGUGCAGUAGGGGAGACUGGAAUUCCUGGUGUAGCGGUGAAAUGCGCAGAUAUCAGGAGGAACACCGAUGGCGAAGGCAGGUCUCUGGGCUGUUACUGACGCUGAGGAGCGAAAGCAUGGGGAGCGAACAGGAUUAGAUACCCUGGUAGUCCAUGCCGUAAACGUUGGGCACUAGGUGUGGGGAACAUUCCACGUUUUCCGCGCCGUAGCUAACGCAUUAAGUGCCCCGCCUGGGGGA